GACGAACCGUGCGGACGUUGUUCGGAAUCACUGGGCUUAAAGGGCGCGUAGGCGGUGCGGUAAGUCACCUGUGAAAUCUCCUGGCUCAACUGGGAGCUUGCAGGCGAAACUGCCGUGCUGGAGUGUGGGAGAGGUGCGUGGAAUUCCUGGUGUAGCGGUGAAAUGCGUAGAUAUCAGGAGGAACACCGGUGGCGAAGGCGGGUCUCUGGGCCGUAACUGACGCUGAGGAGCGAAAGCGUGGGGAGCGAACAGG
rnacentral:rRNA from 1 species